ensembl:lncRNA
AUUCCGAAAGGAGGAAAACAGCUGGGAAACACAUAUCCAUGCCUCCUGCAAAGAUGGGACCUGAUUCUCUAACUUUUGGGAAGAAACCUGCGUAGACUGACCGUAAAAAGAGCCAGAGGAAUAUAAGAAAAACAAAAUACAGUCUUGAGCCCAGACCUAGGCCAACAUAUGCUGGUGAUUUCACAUGGUGUCACUGCAAGAAGCUGUUGGGAAUGUUGUGGUAUUAAUAGAAUCUAGAUACCAUUUAAUACUUAAAGAGAUGGUUCCUUCACCUAGGACUCAGGAUAGCACAUUCUGCUUACUGAGAAGGGUCACCAAAUGGCAGUGUGGGAAGCAUAAUCAUGCUCAUUCCCAUGAGCAAAUACUUAGCAACCUGCUUUGCUUCUGGGAACAAUACCAGGUAAAGCUGAAGCACAUAUUUUCUCUUGGGCAUAACAAAAUAAAGAGCACCCUCACCCUUACUGAGCUCAGCUAGACUGUACUGGUGAGUUGAACCGGGACAGAAUCCAGUCCAGAGUGAUACUGAGGAAGAGGAGAACAUCACGAGAGCACAGAAACAAAGAUGCAGGCUCCUCAUAUACCAGAAGAGGAAAAGGAGGUGGCAGCAUCGUGCAUGUCUCUUUGUUGGCGUAACGAGCAAAGGAGGAGCCCUUGCUUGCAACGCCACCAAUAGUGUGGACCCUUCUCCAAGCUGAUGCUGAUGGGAUUCAGUGGGAAGCAGGAAAGCUCUUACACCCAUCACAAGUGUGAGACAAAAGAAAAUUGCAAGAAACUGAAAAAAUACUCCAUAUCUCCAACAACAAAGGAACAGAGUGGUAACAACUACAGAUCAUACGUACAUUGUGCCUCGAGAAUUUCAAGGAAGGCUCCUUUAAGAAGCUUAAAGUCUGGUCAUUUAUCUGUACUUCCAAGAAUCUCAAGGCAGGAACUUUCUCCCCAUGCUCCCUGAGGAAGGAACCAAUUGCUUAUCAUGAGUAAAAGUGUGACUGAAAUGUGAUAGCCAAAAAACAAAGAAAUCUCUAAUAAGUUAGAAAUUCUUUCUUAAACCUAUGGAGCGCAGUCUGCUUGGAGUCUGGCUUAAUCUGUCGCCAUAAAUACAUCUAUUGAGGGAAUUUUCCAUGAGGUUAUCAGACAGCAAAAUUCUACAAGUCACAUCCUUGCUCACCGUGUGAUGCCUCUGGCAGGUUCAACCUGGUUAAUAUUUAUGGUGUAAUCACCAGUGACUUCUUGAUUCCCUAAAGGCAAUCCAAAAAGAAAGAAGAAAAAAAAAAAGUCUCAGAGCUCCUGCAGAUGCGCUAUCAUAAAUUCACCCCAAAGUGGAAACUCAAAUAAUGGAUGUGUGUUUAUAAACACGGAAAAUAAAGUAAAUUACUAGGUACACUUUCCAAGUGUUUAGAGCUGCAAGGUAUCCUCACACACAGAAAAGCCCAUAUUCACACUUGCCUGCACCAAAAGAGCUUGCAUGCUUACCUGGGACUUUGGAUUGUGAUUGCUAUUAUCAAGGGGCAAAUUUCUGACCGGUGAUAAUAAAUCAUAACAGUGCUUUUGCUCUAUGGAACGAUCUCUGAGUGAUUAACACCACCAUUUACCUCCCUGUAGCAACAGUUGUUUCCUAUUGCUGGACAAAGAGAGCAUGGAGACAUGUGGGAAGACUGUGUAGGAUGUGGCAGCUGUUGACAAAAACUUAACUUUUUAGAGGCCACCUAUCUACCUUGAAAUAUGUUCGGUACCAAAAGGCAGAUAAGGGGUUAAGAGAUUUUCCUCGCUUUAUCUCUCACAUGCUCUUAUCUGCCCAACAGACCAUAAUAAAUCAGUGGACCUCUUCUUCCAUCUGGCUCACUCCAAAUUCCUUGCUUCCACAUGAUUUGGGAAAGUUUUCCUGACCUUUCACGACUUCUGUGAUAUUGCACAGAACAUAGGGUUGGAAGAAGUACGUGAGGGAAAUUUAGCAGACAUAAAACAUGCCUGCAACUAGGUGAAGCCUUCAGUGGGGCAUCACUCCCAGGAUCUCCCUUGGGAUUUGCUACCUGUGCUCUUUCUUGCCCAAGGUGGCAAUGUACAGGUUAGGCCCACAGUGGAUCCACUGCACAAAGGGUGGUGAAACACCACAGGGCAUAAACACUGCCUUGUGCGCUCCCAAAGCCCAUUGAACAUCGCUAUGCAAUUAUCAAGAAGCAUGAAAGAGCUGUGUAAAAGAUAUCCGACACACUGGUCAGCUUCAGCAAUGAAGCGGAUGAAAGUCCCAUCCCUGGACACAUUCAAUGUCAGUCUAGAUGGGCCCCCGAGCAACCUGAUCUGGCUGUAUGUGUCACUGUUCAUUGCACUGGAGCUGGUCUGGAUGGCCUUUAAGGGUCCCUUUCAACUCAAACAGUUAUAUGAAUUGUCCAUUACAUUACAAUUAGCCCUUCACGUAGGGAAGUUAGAAGUUUUAUGGAAAAAGGCAAAAUUAUUACUCUGAUUUCCCAGUGUUUCCACUCUAAUUUCCAUCUUUCUGCCCCAUCUUUACCUCCUAUUCUCAUCACCAUGUCCGAUCUCAGGCCACCACUCUAUAUUCCAAUCCUUCUCCUAAGAAGUUUACAAAGGUUCAUACAAUGAAUUUGCCUGCAGCAGCAAGUCUGCACAAGACUGUUUUUGUUUAUAAUGCGCAAGUUCAAAAAUGCUUUUUUUGUUGUUGUUGUUCUGUGUCUACCCUACAUAUUCACUUUCAAGCAAAAAGUAGAAAAAUAUGCACACAUACUAACAACUGCCAUGUUGCAAUAGAAACAUUUUUUUGCUUAGCCACGUGGUGAUACAGUCCCAAGUGUUUGGGUUAGUGUGCGUCCACUGUACACCCCGUGAAUGUGCAUGUGUUUGCCUUCAUGGUGUACUAAGAGCUAAGUACAGUGCAGGUGUACACACUAAUAAAAAUCACGAGACGAGUAAUUUGGUGGUGUAACUGUGCUGGCAUCACUCAGGUAACUACAGCACUGAACCUAGCCCCACAUCUCUGUUUCAUACAUAUUAAAAUAAAAAUAAAUAAAUAAAAAAUGAUGGUUUUCAAGGCAGAUGUCUUUCACAUCAGCAUAAAGUAGAAGGAAGAGAUAUCUCUCACUACCUAAGGAAAAAAAAAAAAAAAAAAA